rnacentral:rRNA from 1 species
CUGUACAGUUCAGAGUUUGAUCCUGGCUCAGAGUGAACGCUGGCGGCAGGCCUAACACAUGCAAGUCGAACGGCAGCGGGUAGGAAGCUUGCUUCCUAUGCCGGCGAGUGGCGACGGGUGAGGAGCGCAUCGGAAUCUACUCCGUCGUGGGGGAUAACGUAGGGAAACUUACGCUAAUACCGCAUACGACCUAAGGGUGAAAUGGGGGACCGCAAGGCCUCACGCGAUGGAAUGAGCCGAUGUCCGAUUAGCUAGUUGGCGGGGUAAAGGCCCACCCAAGGCGACGAUCGGUAGCUGGUCUGAGGGGAUGAUCAGCCACACUGGGACUGAGACACGGCCCAG